rnacentral:rRNA from 1 species
CAGGGAUUGCCUCAGUAACGGCGAGUGAAGCGGCAACAGCUCAAAUUUGAAAUCUGACCCCCCCGGGGCCCGAGUUGUAAUUUGUAGAGGGUGCUUCGGGCGCGGCGCCGGUCUAAGUUUCUUGGAACAGAACGUCGCAGAGGGUGAGAAUCCCGUACGUGACCGGUGACCAAGCCCGUGUGAAGCCCCUUCGACGAGUCGAGUUGUUUGGGAAUGCAGCUCAAAAUGGGUGGUAAAUUCCAUCUAAAGCUAAAUAUUGGCCAGAGACCGAUAGCGGACAAGUAGAGUGAUCGAAAGAUGAAAAGCACUUUGGAAAGAGAGUUAAACAGUACGUGAAAUUGUUGAAAGGGAAGCGCUUGCGACCAGACCGGUCCGGGGGCGAUCAGCCGCGGCUCGUCCGCGGUGCACUCGCCUCCGAUCCGGCCAGCAUCGGUUCGGGCGGCGGGAUAAAAGUCCCGGGAAUGUAGCUUCCCUCGGGGAGUCUUAUAGCCCGGGUCGCAAUGCCGCCCGCCUGGACCGAGGACCGCGCUUCGGCUAGGAUGCUGGCGUAAUGGUCGCAAGCGACCCGUCUUGAAACACGGACCAAGGAGUCUAACAUCUAUGCGAGUGUUUGGGUGUCAAACCCAGGCGCGGAAUGAAAGUGAACGGAGGUGGGAACCCGUCAGACGGCGCACCAUCGACCGAUCCUGAUGUCUUCGGAUGGAUUUGAGUAUGAGCAUAGCUGUUGGGACCCGAAAGAUGGUGAACUAUGCCCGGAUAGGGUGAAGCCAGAGGAAACUCUGGUGGAGGCUCGCAGCGGUUCUGACGUGCAAAUCGAUCGUCAAAUCUAGGCAUAGGGGCGAAAGACCAAUCGAACCAUCUAG